rnacentral:rRNA from 1 species
UACAGAGGUCCCAAGCGUUGUUCGGAUUCACUGGGCGUAAAGGGUGCGUAGGCGGUCGGGUAAGUCUGACGUGAAAUCUCCAAGCUCAACUUGGAAAUGGCGUCGGAUACUAUUCGGCUGGAGGAAUGGAGGGGAGACUGGAAUUCUCGGUGUAGCAGUGAAAUGCGUAGAUAUCGAGAGGAACACCAGUGGCGAAGGCGGGUCUCUGGACAGUUCCUGACGCUGAGGCACGAAGGUCAGGGGAGCAAACGGG